rnacentral:lncRNA from 1 species
ACUUUUUAAGGUAUGUAUCUGAGGUAUCAAGAGGAUGGGAUGAGCCCAACUCAAGAGAAAUGGGAAGGAUGAAAGCUCCUGUAAAUCCAAAGGGUGGAAUGUACAUGUUAAGUGAAGACAUGGACAUGAAAGCUAAGGUGGCAACAAUGGCAAGGAGGUUGGAAGAACUUGAGUUGAAAAAAAUGCAUGAAGUCCAAGCCAUUACCAAGACACAAGCCCAUGUCAUGCCAUGCACCAUUUUCCAAUCAUGUGAUCAUGUGGUAGAUGAAUGCCCAACCAUCCCAGCUGUGAGGGAGAUGUUAGGUGAUCAAGCCAAUGUUGUGGGGCAAUUUAGGCCCAACAACAAUGCACCAUAUGGAAACACCUAUAAUUCAAGCUGGAGAAACCAUCCAAAUUUUUCUUGGAAACCAAGGCCACCUCCAUACCAACCACAAGCCCAAACCCAAGCACCUCAACAAAGCUCUUCAGUGGAGCAAGCCAUUGUGAACCUAAGUAAAGUCAUGGGUGACUUUGUGGGUGAACAAAAGGCAAUCAACUCACAAUUGCACCAAAAGAUUGAAAAUGUUGAGAGUUCUCAAAUUAAGAGAAUGGAUGGGAUGCAAAAUGAUCUAUCUCAGAAGAUAGAUAAUAUUCAAUACUCCAUCUCUAGGCUUACCAACCUCAACACAAUGAAUGAGAAAGGAAAGUUUCCCUCUCAACCAAGCCAAAAUCCAAAGGGUGUUCAUGAAGUUGAAACCCAAGAUGGGGAGUCUUCAAAGUUGAGGGAGGUCAAAGUUGUGAUCACCUUGAGGAGUGGGAAGGAGGUUGAUCAAUCCUUGCCUAAGGUGAGGCAAGAUGAAGAACUCAUGUCAAGGAGAACCUUGGUUAAAGAGAGCAAUAACCAAGAAGAGAAGAGUGGGAAGAAAAAUGCAUCUAAUUCAAGCAUUGAAAAAGAGCCAAGGAUAGUGAUUAAAGAGGAUAUGAUGAAGAAACAUAUGCCUCCCCCUUUUCCACAAGCUUUACAUGGAAAGAAGGAAAUCAAGAAUUCAUCAGAAAUUCUUGAAGUUUUGAGACAAGUGAAGGUGAAUAUACCCUUACUUGAUAUGAUCAAGCAAGUCCCAACAUAUGCAAAAUUUUUAAAGGACUUGUGCACGGUCAAGAGAGGGUUAAUUGUGUCAAAGAAGGCAUUCCUGACUGAGCAAGUAAGUGCCAUCAUUCAAUGUAAGUCUCCAGUUAAGUACAAAGAUCCGGGAUGUCCCACCAUUUCAGUCAACAUUGGAGGGACACAUGUGGAGAAGGCUUUACUAGACUUGGGGGCAAGUGUGAAUUUGCUCCCAUACUCUGUGUAUAAGCAACUGGGACUUGGAGGAUUGAAGCCCACAGCCAUCACUCUCUCCUUAGCUGAUAGGUCGGUCAAAAUCCCAAGGGGGUGAUAGAGGAUGUUCUAGUUCAAGUGGACAAAUUCUACUAUCCUGUGGAUUUUGUGGUGCUUGAUACUGAUCCCACUGUUAAGGAAGCAAAUUAUGUGCCAAUCAUCCUUGGGAGACCUUUCCUAGCUACCUCCAAUGCCAUCAUCAAUUGUAAGAAUGGGAUGAUACAGCUCACAUUUGGAAACAUGAUCUUGGAAUUAAACAUAUUCCACCUAUGCAAGAGGCAUCUUCACCUAGAAGAGGAGGAAGGAUUGGAGGAGGUGUGCUUGAUCAACACUUUGGUUGAAGAGCAUUGUGAUAAGAAUUUAGAAGAGAGCUUGAACGAGAGCCUUAGAGUGCUUGAAGAAGGGUUACCUGAACCCUCUGAUGUGUUAGCCAUCAUGUCUCCUUGGAGGAGACAGGAAGAGAUCUUACCACUGUUCAAUAAGGAGGACUCACAAGGAGCAGCUACGGAGGACCCUCCAAAACUUGUUUUGAAGCCACUUCCUGUUGAUAUGAAGUAUGCAUAUUUGGAGGAAGAUGAGAAAUGUCCAGUGGUGGUUUCUUCAACUCUCACAAGUGAUCAAGAGGAUAGUCUUUUGGGAGUCCUCAGAAAAUGCAAAAAAGCCAUUGGAUGGAAAAUUUCUGAUCUGAAAGGGAUUAGCCCUUUGGUAUGCACCCACCAUAUCUACAUGGAGGAAUAUGCAAAACCAGUGAGGCAGCCCCAGAGGAGGUUGAAUCCUCACAUGCAAGAGGUGGUAAGGGGUGAAGUUCUGAAGCUACUUCAAGUAGGGAUCAUAUAUCCCAUUUCAGAUAGCUUGUGGGUGAGCCCAACCCAAAUAGUCCCAAAGAAAUCUGGAAUUACUGUGAUCUAGAAUGAGAAAGGGGAGAAAGUCUCUACACGUCUUACCUCAGGAUGGAGGGUGUGUAUAGACUACAGGAGGUUGAAUUCAGUGACUAGGAAGGACCAUUUCCCAUUGCCUUUCAUGGACCAAGUCCUUGACAGAGUCUCAAGGCAUCCUUUCUACUGUUUUUUGGAUGGUUAUUCGGGGUACUUCCAAAUAGAGAUUGAUUUGGAAGAUCAAGAAAAGACAACCUUCACUUGCCCCUUUGGUACUUUUGCCUAUAGGAGGAUGCCCUUUGGUCUAUGUAAUGCACCUGCAACUUUCCAAAGAUGUAUGCUAAGCAUCUUCAGUGAUAUGGUGGAGCGCAUCAUGGAAGUCUUCAUGAAUGACAUCACUGUAUAUGGAGAUUCUUAUAAGGAGUGUUUGUUGCAUUUAGAAGUUGUUCUCCAAAGAUGUAUUGAGAAAAACCUAGUGCUAAAUUGGGAGAAGUGCCAUUUUAUGGUACAACAAGGAAUUGUCUUAGGACAUAUAAUCUCCAAGAAUGGCAUUGAGGUAGAUAAGGCAAAGGUGGAGCUAAUUUGUCGGGUUCUAUAGGAGGUUCAUUAAGGAUUUCUCAAAAAUCUCAAAACCUCUUUGUGAACUCUUGGUAAAAGAUGCCAAGUUUGUGUGGGAUGAGAAAUGUCAGAAGAGUUUUAAGGAACUGAAGUAAUUCUUCACAACUGCACUAAUAGUGAGAGCCCCAAAUUGGAAAUUACCUUUUGAGGUAAUGUGUGAUGCAAGUGAUCUUGCUAUGGGGGCUAUUUUGGGGCAAAGAGAAGAUGGAAAGCCCUAUGUGAUUUAUUAUGCAAGCAAAACUUUGAAUGAGGCUCAAAGGAACUACACAACUACUGAGAAGGAGUUAUUGGCAAUAGUUUUUACCUUGGAUAAGUUUCAUGCCUAUUUGGUAGGGUCCUUUAUAAUGGUGUUCACUGACCAUUCUGCUUUGAAGUACUUGCUAACCAAGCAAGAUACCAAGGCAAGAUUGAUAAGAUGGAUCCUUUUGCUUCAAGAAUUCAAUCUCCAAAUCCGGGAUAAAAAAUGAGUAGAAAAUGUGGUAGCUAACCACUUGUCAAGACUUGUGAUAGCACAUGACUCACAUGGUCUACCUAUCAAUGAUGACUUCCCUGAGGAGUCUUUCAUGUCAAUAGAGGUAGCUCCAUGGUAUUCUCACAUUGCAAAUUACUUGGUUACUGGAGAAGUUCCAAGUGAGUGGAGUACCCAAGACAAGAAACAUUUCUUUGCUAAGAUCCAUGCCUAUUAUUGGGAGAAGCCUUUUCUCUUCAAAUAUUGUGCGGAUCAAAUCAUAAGGAAAUGUGUUCCUGAACAAGAGCAAUCAGGAAUUCUAUCCCAUUGUCAUGAUAGUGCAUGUGGAGGUCAUUUUGCUUCCCAGAAAACAGCCAUGAGAGUGGUCCAAUCAGGUUUUUGGUGGCCCUCUCUUUUCAAGGAUGCCCACUCUAUGUGCAAGGGAUGUGAUCGGUGCCAAAGGCUAGGGAAGCUAACACGCCAGAAUAUGAUGCCCUUGAACCCCAUCUUGAUAGUGGAUGUCUUUGAUGUUUGGGGAAUAGACUUCAUGGGACCAUUUCCAAUGUCAUUUGGACACUCCUACAUUUUGGUGGGAGUGGAUUAUGUCUCUAAGUGGGUAGAAGCAAUCCCAUGUAGGAGCAAUGAUCAUAAGGUGGUUCUCAAAUUUCUCAAGGAGAACAUUUUUUCAAGAUUUGGAGUGCCUAAGGCCAUUAUCAGUGAUGGAGGAACCCACUUUUGCAACAAGCCUUUUGAGACUCUUCUAGCCAAAUAUGGGGUCAAGCACAAGGUAGCUACACCUUAUCACCCUCAAACAAGUGGCCAAGUUGAGUUAGCCAACCGGGAAAUCAAGAAUAUACUGAUGAAAGUGGUGAAUGUGAAUAGGAAGGAUUGGUCUAUUAAGCUCCUGGAUUCAUUAUGGGCUUAUAGGACCGCUUAUAAGACCAUUCUUGGUAUGUCUCCCUAUCGUCUAGUUUAUGGCAAAGCAUGUCAUCUCCCUGUGGAGGUUGAAUAUAAGGCUUGGUGGGCAAUCAAGCAGUUGAACAUGGACUUGAUCAGAGCAGGGGCAAAAAGGUGCUUAGACCUUAAUGAGAUGGAGGAAUUAAGAAAUGAUGCUUACCUUAAUUCCAAAGUUGCAAAACAGAGGAUGAAAAGGUGGCAUGAUCAGCUAAUCUCCAACAAAGAAUUCAAGGAAGGGCAAAGAGUCCUACUCUAUGACUCAAGGCUCCACAUCUUUCCCGGGAAGCUCAAGUCAAGGUGGAUAGGUCCUUUCAUUAUUCACCAAGUGCAUCUCAAUGGAGUGGUGGAAUUAUUCAAUUCCAAAGGCAAUCAAACCUUCAAAGUCAAUGGCCAUCGUCUCAAGCCAUUCAUAGAGCCUUACAAUGCAGACAAGGAGGAGAUCAACCUUCUUGAACCACAGCAACUUUGAGGAUGAGUAGGGUUUCAUGGACUAUAUAAGUCCAUGAAUUUUAUAGUUUUAUAGUUUUAUUGUUAUUUUUAUUUCUUUUGAUUUUAAUUCUUGCUCAAAUUUGUUUUAUUUUGUCUUAAUUCGAGUCAGUUUUGAUGUUAAAUUUCAGGAAAAAAAUCAAGAAAAAUGUGGAGAAGCCUUGAAAAGCAAAAUGGGGGAGCAAAAAAAAGGGAACAGAGCACUACAUUUCAAGGUGCGAAAAUUUUGCACGGUGGAAUCCAACAUGCGAAAAUGCAUUCCAAGGUGCGAAAUUCCAAAAUCAAAAUUUCGCACACCACUAUUCAAGGUACGAAAAUUUUUGCACCGUGCGAAACACCCUCCUGGCACACGAGUGGCAUUUCACACAGCCCAAACCAAUUUUCGCACAAUGCGAAUCAAGGUGCGAAAUUCAUUCCAACAUGCGAAAAUCACAGUCCAAGGUGCGAAUUCUCUAAACGUCAGUUUCGCACACCACUAUUCAAGGUGCGAAAAUUUUCGCACCGUGCGAAACACCUCUCUGGCACACGAGUGUCAUCAUCUUAAGUAUCGAAAUGGUUUCGCACCGUGCGAAACAAGGUGCAAAAAUUUCGCACAGUGCGAAAUUGAGUGCGAAACUCGAUUCAAGGUGCAAAAUUCUCAGUUUAAGGUGCGAAAAUUUCGCACGGUAAAAUUCAAGGUGCGAAAAUUUCGCACGGUGAAAUUUUAAGCUGCGAAAACUCCUAACUGACUUUUUUUUUACCCCCAGGACUUUGCCUAACUUUCAAAAAUGACUUUUCGGUUGCCAUGGGAAUUUUUAAACAUCAAACCACUCCAAAUUAGUUUCCCCCAUUUCUAUUUAAACCCUUGAAGUAGAGAAGCCAAAGAGACGCAAGCCCCGCGUUCCAUUUCCACCUCUCUAGAAUCUGAUCAGUUUUCUUCCUAAGCAUUUCGGCCAUGGCAAAGACUAGGGGAGGCCUUUCCGCAUCCCCAUCCUCGUCGAUGCCUUGACCAACACAAUCCGCCAUCAGAGACGCCACUUCGCUAGAUACUCAGGACUCCACCGUUCCCCCAUCUGAGGGUGGAACGCCUUCUCAGUGCCGGUAUCCCACCAGGAGGCCACCCACUGACCCUGUGCCGCCCCCCCCCCCCCCCCCACCAAAGCCAAGAGGCCUGCUUCUCGGCCACCCUAGAAGAGGGCCAAGUUCUCGGGUCCUGAAGAGCCAUCCCAGCCACCUUAGGCAGAGCCACCUACUGAGGACUCUCAGAUUCCUGUGGGGAUUCCUCUCGAGACCAUCAUCAGGCGUCCUAUGAUCGUAGGGCCGCCUAUAGAGGGCAACUUGGAUUGCAGAGAUCGAUCAUUCCAUUCAGAGACUUGGUUCGACAUCGAUGCUCUCAAACAGCAGCCAAAGCUCAAGGAUUCAUUCCAUUUGCUACAGAGGUAUCACAUGGAACAUCUCCUCACCCCUAGGCAGUUCUAUUAUCCCAGAGUAGUUCUAGACUUUUAUCAGUCUAUGACUACUCGAGGCGUCCGGGAUCCUACUCUCAUCUAUUUUACCAUAGAUGGACGCCAGGGUAUUAUUGGAGCUCGCCACAUUGCUGAGGCCCUCCAUAUACCUUAUGAGCCUGUGAGUCAGGCAGACUUCAGGGAGUGGUCCCCAUUCUCUCCAAGGGACAUGGUUCAUAUCUUUUCCAGGGGGACUUCCACAGCCUCAGUGUUGACUAGGAGAGAGCUUCUAUCUGGGAUGCUCCUUAUUGAUGUGCUCCUGCGCGCCAACAUCUUCCCACUUCAGCAUAAAGUUCAAAGGAGAGGAGCUAUACUUGAGGCGUUAUUUAGGAUUUCUGAGGGAUAUUACUUCGGCCCUCAUCACUUGAUUAUGACUUCUCUUCUUCACUUUGAAGAGAAAGUCCAUCAGAGGAAGCUUCAGAGGGCAGAUGCCAUUCAAUUAUUGUUUCCGAGGCUCCUCUGCCAGAUUUUAGAGCACCUGGGCUAUCCUGCAAAGCCCCACCUUGAGAGGCGCCGCCAUUGCCGAGAGAACUUCUCUCUCGACAAAUGGCAUCACUUGGCAGCCUACUUUGCACCUCAGGGAGCCCCAGAUGUGCCUCCACCUCCAGAGCUACACCAAGAUGGGCAGCCACCCCAGGCCCAGCAGGAUGAGAUUCUCACUAACAUAACACCUCCUACCCCUACAGCACACACCUCAGUGCACAUGCCUGAGGCUACACUUCCUGCUUCUCCUAUCACUCAGGACGCUCCACCAAUCGUGACAGCUACCUCAGCACCUCCUCCUUCAUCUAAGCCCACUGUCACCGUUUCUCUUACGAAAUUCAGAGGCUUAAUGCACUCAUUGCAGACACUGAGCACCACUCAGGAUUCUCUUUUCCAGCAGAUGGCCACUAUUCGUGCACACCAGGAUUAGAUCAUUGCUACUCAGACCCAGCAUACCACGAUCCUUCAUCAGAUCCAGCAGCAUCUGAGUAUGCAGACACUUCCUGGGCAUGAUAGGUCUGGACCAUCCAAGCCUCUAGUAUCAAAUGAGGGGACCAUACCAGCUGAGCAACCCAUAUCAGAUGAGGAGAUCAGAGUAGAGCCAUCACAUGAUCCCACUACUAUCUGAUCUCUUUAUGUUAUUUUUUUUUUUACUUACUUUUUAUAUUAGACUUGUGAAUCCCAUCUUUUUGAUGUAUUAUAUACUGGGAUUGGAUGUAUUACUUGAGCAUCAUGCAUAUUGUAUUUCUUUUCCAAGUAAUACAUAUAUAUAUAUAUAUAUAUAUAUCAUUUUUUAUUAUAUUCCCUUUUCUCAUUACUCUUUUAUCUUUGAAACAUGUGGUUUCUCCUAUACGACUCAGACUCUGUAUCACUCAAGAGGUACCACUUCCUCCUUUGAUUUCCUAAUCGCUCUUCAAACAUUGAGGACAAUGUUCAGCUUGGUUGGGGGGAGAGUUGAGGAAGGAAGUUUUGUUAUUAAUGCUAAGUUAUUUUGGUAAUUUAGUUGCUUUUUGCUUAAUUUUUAAAAUUUUUUAAAGUGUUUUUGAAUACUCUCCAUGGUUAUUAAGAAAAAAAUUUCAAAAUGAAAUGAGAGAAAUUAAAUUUUUGUCUUUUUACUUGAAACUUAGAGUUUGUAUUAUGUUUAUUAAAGUUGACGAAUUAUUGAACUCCUAUUGAUUUCAACCUUAUUUCUUCCACUUUAAGCUUAUCACACACCGUGCACACUAGGUUCCGUUUAUAAGAUGAAAAACUAUUUUCCCCCUUGACUUAGGAAAAUUUAGACUUGGUACCUUUGACCUCAUUUUAAUAGUGUUGAGACACCUUAUAAAAGGCCAAUGAGCCUUUGGAAAAAGAAAGAAAAAGAAAAAUGUUUUACUUGCCUUGAAAUCCGAGCAAGGUCUGAGGGGUAUAUGGUGAAAAUCUUUAAAACCUGGUGCGCUAAGCCUUCAAUGGUUGGGAGUCACCGACCUCAAUGCUCGUUACAUGGGUGAAUAGGUGGAGUUUAACAUAUUGUAGGUGCUUGGGUAUUAAAAAUUCAUUCUCAAAAGUCCGGGGUGAAAUCCGAGGAGUUAGUGGUUGAAAAAUCCUUAAAGCUUGAUGCCCUAAACCUUGAUUGGUUGGGAGUCAUCGAUGGACCCCCGUUACAUGGACAAUUUAGAAAAGAAUGCCUUUAAGCUUUGCACUCCUACAAGAAAAAAUUGUGAAAGAAAAGAGGUGUGUUCUUAGCCUAUUGGAGGUUGAUUAGUUUGCUAAGCUUUGAAAAGAACUAGGAUGAGGGGAGAGAUUAGUUUAACAUACUAUAUCUGGAAACUAAUAAAUAACACAUAAAUUUUUGUGGAAGAGUAAGGAUUGGACCUUUGGGAGUGGAAAUUAUUUUGAAGCUUAAAUUUGCAUAAUGCCUACUCUUUAUGAAUUGUGACUAGGCAAAUUAUUUGAUAGCUCCCAUUGAAGUUUGAGUUUUAUUUCUUUCAUGUUCCAUGUGAGAGUUUGAUCAGUCAUGCCACUUAAACAUUUUUUGGAGUGAUUAGCAUGAUUUUGUAAAUUUAUUACUUUUAUUUUUAUUUUUUCUCUCCUUCAUUGCUAAGGGACUAGCAAUAUGUCGGUUGGGGGGAGUGAUUACUAAUCAAAAAGUGCUAUUUUGUACCUUGUAAUUAACUCUUUUAAACACUCUUGAAUAGUAAUUAUUACCUUUUAACUCAAUUGAUAUGUUAAGGACCCUUGCAAUCGUUUCUAAUCAAAUUGUGUUAAGUUUUGGUGUUUUUGAUAGCUUUUUGCUCACCAAAGCAAUUUAAGAAUGAGGGAGAGCUGUAUCUAGUUCAUGGCAAAGCUUUUAGAAGCUCAAAUUCAUGAAGAAACCAAGCUUUGGAGCCUCAUAGUCCUUUGCCUUAGUCGUUCAAAGUAUGCAAGAAAAGAGCAAAGGAGAGAGGAAAACAGAGUGAAGAAAAUAGAGAACAGCAGCUGCAGUCUUCCUUCGCACUUUUAGAGUACUUACCGAAGUCCAUUUUCUACAUGCUAUAUACCAUUUCAAAUCUCAGGAAGUUAAGAAUCUAACGCUUCAAACCGUGUACGAUUUGGAGCUGAAAUGAGGAAGAUAUGACCUUCGAAAGACAACUGCAUCAAGCUGAGGGACAAUUUCACACCUUGCGAAAUUGGAACUUCAACGUGCGAAAUUUAAAGUGGAUGGCAGCUGUGCAGUCGCGGUGAAGCCCAACAUGCGAAAGUGGAUUCUAAGUUGCGAAAUCAACUUGCGAAAUUUUCGCAAGUCACCAUGCAACGUGCAAACUGGGAUAUUUGUGCACCAACUCUUUUUCUUCUGAUAUUUUGUGUCUAAAUCUCCAUUUUCUCCUUGUAUUCAGCCACUCAUGUAAUUCCUUAGCUAGGAAGUAUUCAAGGAAGGGUAGAUUACCUUCCUAUAUAAACUCUCUUGUAAACACUUAAAAAACUCUCUUGGGAGAGCUUGUUCGAGGAGACCAACUUUUGUAUAGUUUUGGAAGGAGAAAUACAGAGCUCUCUUUGCUUUCCUUUUCUCUCUUCUAUUUUCUUUUUCUUGGAAGCCAAACAGCCUCUGAGGAUGUUUUCCCAAAGGAUGAGAGGCUAAACCUUUGGUUUCUUGGAGUGAAGGAAGCUAGGUGAAAAGUCCAGAUGCAAAUGUGGAAAACUCUCGUGCAUUAAAUACAGGUAGUUGGAGUUCAUAAAUGGCUUUUAAAUCUAAAGUUUUGCUUUAAAUCCCUUUGAAUCACUUUGAAUGGCCAAUACAUGAUAAGCUUUUAGGUCUCUGUGGAUCCUUAUUGCUAGAUCCACAUAAGACCAUUAGUUAUCAUGUAUGAGCCAUUGGAAAGUGGCUCAAGGUGAAGACCCAUAGUGUCUAAAGCCAUUAAUGGAACUUGACUACCAUUUCUAUUGACUUUUUAUAGAUUAAAUCUUCAUUGUUAAACCUAUACCGAUUCGGGAAACAACCAUCCUUUAUGUUGUUGUCUCCAAUACAAGGAGAAAAAUCUGAAAUUUCCCACUUUGCAUUUUGAACUUGAUCCUAGCAACCUUUAGCUCCGGGAGACUUUCUUUCUUCCAUUUUUACCUAGUUUUAUGUUAGUUUAGUUCCAAACACCAUUUUCAAAACAAAUUUUAUUUUCUUUUAAACUUUAAGUUUUUGACAAAGGAAAUCAUCAGACUCAAUUUCUAAUCUUGUGUCUAUCACUGGUAGAGUGAAAACCCGUCCCAGAGUUCGACCCUAGAGCUACUAUACUAUAGUAGCUUUGCUACGACAGUAUAAGGUCAUAGGAUUUAUAAAUAUUUUUUAUUAAAAUAUCCAACUGGGCAUGAAUCAAGUAUGAUUAAAGAUAAUAUUUAUUAAUUUUUUAGCAAAACAUUAGCAUAAAUUCAUUUAAUAUAUUUAAGUGAUUUAUUUUAAAAUUAAAAAAAAACUUUUAUUAAAACAUAUUUUAUUACAUUUUAAAUAAAAACUAAAUUGAUUUAUAUCAAAUAUUUGAUUUGAGAUAUGAUUUCUAAAAAUUUAUUACAAAUAUGUGGUGACAAUUUUUCUAUUAACAUUAAUUUCUUUAAAUAAUUAAAAUUAUUAAUCAUUUAUCUAAUCAAAUUAAUUUUAAGUUAUAAAAUAUUAGGACUUCAUCAUUUUUUUUUUAUAUUGUAGCAAAUUCUGAGUAAAACUAUAUUUGUAAUAUUUAAAAAUACAAAAUUUUGAAAUUUAAUACAAGUAAAUGGAUAAAUAAAUAAAAAUUAAUAAUGAGCUAAAUAAAAAAAGUAGUUAAAAAAAUAAAGAUAAUAUAAAAUAAAAUGAUAAUAUAAAUUUAAAAUAAAAAAUAAAUUAAAAAUUGAACAAUUAAAAUUUUUUUUAAAUGAUAAAUAUUUAAAAAAAAUCUAUGAUUUUGAAUCAACAAGGAAUCAUUUUCAGCAUUUAUUUCAUAUGAACGUCAAGGGCCAACCUUUCAAGCUAUCAGUAUACCUCCAUUUGCGUUACUGCCCAACCCACACCUCAACUUUAGUCAUCCUAAAGGCAUGCCUCUGAUAGAGAGUCAUGCCUUUCUUUUUCCUCCUGCAAGUAGCUUAACAAAAAGAAGUUCUUCACCCACAUUCAUGUGUCUUCCAUCAAGGUUGUGCUCUUAGGUUGACUACUGCACAUAGCCUACCAAUAUAAUGGUUUUAGCAAUAGGCAUGCCCCUAAAAUCAAGGGUGUGCCCCUAGUUUGCAUACUGCAUAUAGAAUUUCCCAAUAAUGUUAUCAUACCCAUGGGCAUACCUAUGCAAUGAAGGGUGCACCCCUGCUUUGCCUUCUACAUGUAGCAUAGUUAUAUAAUAUCAUUAACACAUAGGCAUGCCUUUCAAAUGGAAGAUACGCCCCUAGAUUGCCUUCUGCACAUAACAUACUAAACUAAUGUUCGAAUGUCUUCCCAUGGUGUUAAUGGUUCAACCUCCCUUUUACAAACUCCUCACAUAACACGAAACCAAUUUUAAAGAAGAAAAACGAUAGGGUUGCCUAUGAUCUAACAGGCACACCCUUAUUUUGGCUAUUGCCCAUUUCACACAAAACUAAAUAAUAUGCUUAAGGGUCAUCAGCCAAAAAAUGACAACCCCUACAUGUAAAGGUUGGCCACGAUUAUGCCCACUAGUUGACAAGCUUUUUUUUUGCCAAGGACGCCAUGUGAAUCUAUGUCACUUCAAUGCCAUCUUUGACCAAUCAUGACCAAGGUACAUAUUUUGCUAUUACAAUUACAUUAUCAUGUAACAUAUCCCAUAAUAUUGAAGAACAACAUACAAUCACAAUAUAUGUACACCAAACACUUCAAAUCCAAUAAAUUACUCAUUGCUUAUAAUCAAGGAAACAACAACGAAGAUUACCAAACUAUUUCAUACUAAUAUAAAGUCAAUCUUACAUUAUGAAGUUUAAUAAAAAAAACUUACAGGAAUGGGUUGUUACAUGUCGCACGAUUAUGCCUAGGCUUAUUACAACGAGAGCAAUGAACCGUUUUUUUUUACAUGAAUUGAGACUUAAUUCGAUGUUUCCUAGGUUUUCCAAGAGGUUGCUUUGUGGUUGGAGGAUUAAGAAAGGGAUAAGUAUGACCCAAGGCAUCACGAACGAUUCCAUCUUCAUCAAUCAUUGGCAUGUCAUGCGUUACCAAAGUACGCAUGCUUCCAGAGUAUAUCUUCUCUUGUAAAUUGUACUUAUACCAGUCAUCAACAUAAUCAAAUACAUCAAACCCCAUUCGCCGUAUAGUUGCACAAGCAUGAUCACAUGGGAUUCCAGACAUUUGCCAUGCUUUACAUGUGCAAGUUCACUCCAUUAAGUCCACUUCCAGGAAUGCUUUUCCAUUGGAUACUUUCAUCGAACUACCCAAGUGUAAAUAAGUGAAAUAAUUUUCACCUUUUCCAAUGUUCUAUGCAAUCUUUUCUUUUGUUUUAGGACCAAUACACCCAUUCCAUUUUACAAGUCCAUUUUUGUGCUCGAAUAAAAAAGAUCCUAACUUAUCCAUAUGCUCGAUGAAGAAAACACAAAUGUUAUGGUGUCGUUUAUGUCUUAACCAAGAAUUGAAAGACUCGACCAAAUUACUUGUCAUCUUAUCCCAACGCAUCUUCUUAAAUUUAGAGAUUGCCCAAUGUUGAGGGUUAUUUUCUUCAACCCACUUCACCAAAUCAUGAUUAAAUGUCCUUAAAGUAUCCAUUGCAACCUCAUAAUCACAAUCUAACCUAGCAUAGGUGAUAGAAUCAAGCAUUUACAAAGCAUUUUCCUUCCCUUUCCUCCCUUUAGUGUUCAGCUUUGUUAGAAAGCUACUGAAGUUUUCUUUAAUGUGACGAUAGCAAUGUGCAUGGUUUUCACUACCAAAUACCUCUGAAACACUACGGAUAAACCCUUGGUGCCUAUUAGAUAUUAUUAUAACAUCUCUUUCACCUAUGACCAUCUUCAAUUUCUCUAAGAACCAAAGCCAAUCCUCGUAAUUCUCAGAGCUAAAUAAGCUAUAAGCAAGUGGAAACAUGUCAUCGUUAGCAUCAUAGGAAGAAGCUAAAAAUAAAGCACCCUUGUAUAGCCCACUCAUGUGGGAUGAAUCUAUUGAUAUAAUAGGCCGACAUCCCAUUUGAAACCCAUGUAUUGACACUGAAAUGGCAACAAACAAUUGCAUAAAAUGACCAUCAUUCGGACAUCUAUAUUCAGCAAUCGUCCCUGGAUUUGUUUCAAUAAGCCUUGUACAUAACCAAGGUAACAACUUAUAUGAACAUUGCGGCUCACCAUGAAUUCGUUCUUUAGCCUUCUCUUUCAAGUUCCAUGCUUGACAAUAAUUCAAUUGCAUUCCGUAUUGUCGACGAAAGUCUUUACAUAUUUGACAAGGUAAGUAAUCUAGAUUUGAACAAAUAACAUCAUCAAUCAUAGUUAUGGCUCGAUUACAACGAACCGCUAGUUCGAAAAUUGACACAUCUUCUAAAGAGUGGUUAUGUUCAUUUCUAAAUGUAUGCACUUGAACUAUUUUUGUUCUCCCAACAGCACGAGCAGUUACUUUCCAAGGGCAUCCUUCAACAACACAUAUUACAGUCAUAUGCUUAAGACAAUUCCUCUUAAACUUAUAUCUAAAACGGCCUCCUACUGACAUGAGAUAUAUUGCAUCCCGAAAUUCAUUUGCAGUUGAGAAGGUAUGCCCACUACCUAAUAUUGCACUCUCAAAACGACUUGACUCUAGUGGACCAACAUGUGAUUCAACACAUCUUUGAUGAAAUCCUCGUGAUUGCAUUCUAAUAUCAACAUCUCUUGUUGAAUAUGGGACCGUUGAGUUAGACCCUACGAUUGUUUCGUUCAAGCUGCAUUAUAACAUCUACUGAAUAAACAUAAAUAUUAAAAAUAAAUAAAUACACGGAAUCAUUUAAGAUUAGAUUUUUUUUUUAUGUAACUUACCCUUGUCCUCAAUUCUCAAUCGUUUCAUCGUCUUCAACUGUUGAUGCUAAACAUAUAUAUACACGUGCACAUCGGUCACUAAAUUGAAACAUGUUUGUCAAGUCUUCAUCAUUUUUCAAUGGUUGAAGUGCAUAUAAAUCAAACAGGAGAGCAUAUGAAAAUGUUGGUCCCACUAUAUUGAUGUUCAUUUUCCCACAAAUCCUUGAAACAAAAUCAUUAUAUGUCAUUGAUCGUUCUAAACUUAGACCCUCUCGUCUUCCACCCAUAUAUUCCACAUUGCCAUGUUCAUCCCUUACUAGCUCUCCUCCAAUGUGCAGAUAACAAUAAAUUGUAUUACUUGGAUCCAUUUAAAUGUUACUCGAUCAUGUGCAGCCCCUGUUUAGAAGCAUGAACCUUUAGUCAAGCUUAAACAAUUAACUAAUUUCUUAAUAACACUGCAUAAACCAACUUACUUAUAACAAAACUGAUUAUCACGCCUAUGACCAUCAUAUAUUAAUACAUCAUUUAUCUUUGAAACUUUACAAAUGAGCUUCAUUUACAUUUCAUGGUCUACAAUUAAUGGUGUAAAUAUAGACAUGCAUAGUGUAUACUUAACAUUAAGCAAUGCAAUUAUUCUAUUUUACAUGGUAGUAAUUUGCUAUGUUAUAUAAGUUAGGGAGUGAACCUCUCAAUUCAUGGGCCAACCAUUGUUUUGGUAACUCUUCAAGCCAAAUUGUGUUAAUGUCACUCUCUUCGGGCCACCCCCUCAAACAAUGGGUCGACCUUUAUUUUGCCCACUACCCGGAUUAAACCACAACAAUGUUUACAACUAAGGGCCGACCUCCAAACAAUUAGGCUAACCUUUAUUUUGCCCACUGCCCAGAUUAAACCACAACAAUGUUUAUAACCAAGGGUCGACCUCCAAAAAAUGGGUCAACCUUUAUUUUGCCCACUGCUCAGAUUAAACCACAACAAUGUUUACAACCAAUGGCCGACCUCCAAACAAAUAGGUCAACCUUUAUUUUGUCCACUGCCCAGAUUAAACCACAACAAUGUUUACAACUAAGGGCCUACCUCCAAACAAAUGGGUCAACCUUUAAUUCACUUACUGCAACCUCUUACGAAAACAAUAAUUUCAUCCAAAUGUCAUUAACUGAAUUACGGCCAACCCCUUCAUCCAAGGGUAGGCCCUUACUAUGACCACUACACACAUAAACAAAACAAAUUUCAUAUUUGUGGUUGUGACCAUCAAUUUUGAACCUAAGGUUCCACUACUAUUUUCCCUAAUUUCCACAUAAAUUCAUGCCCGCUUUACUAAAUUUGUUUUAUUUUCUUCUUCAAUUCAACCCUCAUUCAUUACAAAUUCAAAACUUUUAUUAAGAAAUUUAUUCAAGCUUUAAUCCCAAUCAUUUUUAAAAUUUAUACUCAUCUACUCAUGACUAAACAUGAAUUCUUUUCCCAUGCAUUAGAUUCACCAAUUAGCAACUAUUAAAAAUCACUCAAAUUACUCAUUUUGGAAUCCCAUAUAAACAACAUUAAACAACAAAACAUCUUGAAUCCCAUAUAAACAACAUUAAACAACAAAUUGUUUGAACAUUCCUAAAAAUUGUAUUCCCUUCACAUGCAAUAGUCAUAUUUUUCUUCUCUUUUCCGUAUUCUUCCCAACAACCACAUACAACACAAACACAACAAUUCAGAAAAUGAAACAAAAUCAAUAUAGCUUACCACCAUCUCAUUUUCCCAUCAUUUAUCAAAUUUUAAGCCAUAUUUCAUUUCAAAUAAACCCUAAAUAAAUUAAAAUAUAAAUUUAGAUACAAUAUUAAUGGACAUUGAACAUGUAGAAAUAUGCAAUGUAAUCAAGUUUAAAUCACAAAAUUGCACAAAUCGCAUAACUAUGACAUUAUUCAAAUCUCAAAUAAUCAAAAUGACAAAUCAAAAUAUAAAGUUAUUACAAAAUUUAAUAACAUAUAUAUAUCACCUGGAAAAACCCUUGCUUUAAAAGUUAAAUGCAACUACAAUAUUUUUAUUCUUCGUUCUCUCAUUCUCUCAAUUGCUUUCUUUCUCCUUCUUCGAUGUAAAAGCAAAAUAGGAAGUACAACCAAGAGAAAAAUGACUAUCAAUCCUGAAAUAAGAAGAAGGAAAUGGGUUUUUUUGUCUACCUGGCCUUUGUUAGGGGGUUCGCACUUGGACUUUUGUUUUCAAAUUGAUGUUUGCUGGGAAAAUGAAGAUGUUGUCUUCCUUAUGGUGAUGGAGGAGAAACAAAAUAAGAGAUCAAGUUUGAAGGUUCAUUUAGUGUUGAUGGGUUAUCGCGAUUUGAGAACCUUCCAAAUUUUUUAUGGAUCCUUUCGCCUUGUGAUGGGUUGUGUCUAUGAACGAACAAGAAAUAACAUGGGUUUUUGGUGUUAAGGUUUGGUUAAAGAAAGAAGAAGACAUUUGGGGGUAAAUAUUUUUAAAAAAAUCAAUCCAUGUGGAGUGUCUAGCUGGCCGGUGACAUGUAAAUGUGUCAUGUCAUUGGCUUAAGUGGACAACUGAUUUGGAUCUUGCUUAUGUGGCUUUUCCAAGCAACUUAUCCAACUAGGAGAGAUGUCAAACUAUAGGAGGCUAUUUUUGGAAGGGCCUUAACAUCACUAUUAUAGUGUAUGAAAUGUCGUUUAUUUUCCACAAAAUCCACUGAAUUUGAAAAAUAAAAAAUAAAGUUUCCAAAAGGCAAAAUUUUGCCCCUUGGUGUAUGGUUACAUAAAUUCCCCCUAAGAAAAUGAGCUUGCGUAGAUAUCAGACAUGUAUAUUCUAUUAAACUCAUUGAAUAGCAAUAUUUAGAUGGUGCAGACCAUUCAAAAGUGUGAUGAUCGGUAUCUUAAACUUGCUGAUUGGAGAAGUGAAUAGUCAAAUAGUCCCAAUGAGAGGAUGUUUCUAAGCAAAGGUAGCCUUUGGCCUUUUGAAUUCCAACUAUUUCUUAUGUGAAUAAGAAGGGGAUCUUCCUUUAUUUGUGAUACUGGUGAGCAAUAGGUUUAAUUUUUCCAAAUGUUUGAACAUGGCAAGACAUGAAUAUAAGAUUGUAUGAUCAUAUGAUCAAAUGAUGUAUUAGCUUGAAUUAUGUUCUAUGGAUAUCUAUGAAUUUCUAAUGUAAAAUAUUUCUAUUAUUUCAUGAAUGGGUAAUAUUUGAUCUUGGAUUAUUAUCUAAAAAUGUUUUAAAUUAAAUUUCAUACUCUUAGAUUGUAUAUUAUAAGAUUUAUAUUUAGUUAUUGAGUGUGAAAAUAGGUUUCUCCACUAUCUUCAUUUAAAAAAAAAAACUAUAUAUAUUAUUCCAAUUUUAGCCCCAAAUUGAUUGAAUUGGAUAAAACAAAAUCAAAUCGAUAUCAAAUUGAAUUGAUUAGUUCUAAUCAUUUUAAUUUAAUUAAAAUCAAUCAACUUGAUUUGGUUUAGAGUGUAUUUGAUAGUGAUUUUAAAAUAUGUUUGUAAUCUUUUUAAUACUUAAAAGAUAAAAAUUUGUAAGUGUUAAAAAUGUUAAAAACAUUUCCCAAAAUCACUACUAAACGCACUCUUCAUUAGUUAAAAAUAAACCAAAAUGGAACCAUCAUGUUGACCCUCAAUGAAGCCCAUGAGGACACUUGUUGGACCAUUCUUUUAUGGCACAAGAAGAUAGUGUGGCAACAUUUCAAGCCAAAAAUGAGAUGUUGCAUUGCUAAACUCUUGUGGCAUACAUAACUAGGGCAAGUAAAAGGUUGUGGGCGAGAGCCCUUUUUUUGAAAGGAUAAGAAAAAGAAAUAUAAUGUCUAGAUAAAAGAAAUUCAAAAACAAAUGGUACAUUCCUUUGCUUUCAUUUAGAAAGGUGGAACUAAGAUGGCCUUUGUGUUUUGGUUUAAUUAAAUGAAUUUUAAUUUUACUUAACUCUAUGUAGAAUUUAAUCUUAUUAAGAAUUAAAUUACUUGUUUUUUUUAAUGUUUGAAUGUUGUCAAGUGUUAAUUUUUUUAAUGCCUUAAUAUUAUUAUGUGUUAAUAACCAACAUUUAUCCUUGCAAAAAAUAAUUAUUUGUUUCUUCUACGUUAUAUAAUUAAUACAAAAUAUUUGAAAAUUAAUAAUUUUAACAAGAUAAUAAUUUACUUUUGCUUGUUUUAUAUAAUUAAAAUAAAGAUAUUUGAAAAAUUAUUAUUAUUUAAUAUAUUUUUUAAAAUUUCAAAAUACCAAAAUUUAUCUUGGUGUUAUUUUGCAUGAUUAAGACAAUAUAUUUGAAAACUAGGGUUACAACUUAGGUGGGUUGGUCAGGUUGAUGAAUAACCCAAGUCCAAUCUGAAUUAGAAAAAAAAAAAAACAAUCAAUUCAAACUUAACCUUACCUCUAACUCAAGGCACUCAACCUAAAUCCAAUCCACCGUUACCUCAUUUUUCUACAUGGAGCAAAUUUAGGGUGUAAGACUCAAGGUCUUGCACUGUCUCCUUCUACCACAAAUGGUAAUGAGCUUUUUACACUAGCAAUCUUUGCUUCAACCCCUGCCUAGUCUAUCAAUGCUUCCUUCCUUAGAGCCUUCAAGGCAAUAUCCUGGUUUUAUUGUCUCUUUACGGCUAAGUGCUCCAAAUUUGCCUGGUUCAAAUUUGCCAAAAUUUUCUUCAUCAAAUCCUAAACAAUUGUUGACCACACUACUUCUCUUUUCAAAGCCAUUCUUAUGAAUCACUAUUCUUUCCUAUUUUCAUUGGGUUUUUUUUUUUUUCAAUUUUGAGGUUUAUAUUGCAAGUUGUGGUAGGAUCCUUAUUUAUUAUUUUUUUUAGAGGAAAUAUGGCAUUGAAUUUUCAUUGAUGAUGAUGAUUAUUUAUAUACAAAUAACACUUGAAUUCAAUUCUAAUUCAAAACUCUAUCUCUUACUCUAAUUCAAACUAAUAAUAAAUAGAUAAAUAUUAAUAUUUAAAUUAAAGACAAACAUUAACUUUCUCUAACAGAUGAGGUGUCCCAUGAGGAAGUCUGUUUAGUUUAACCACUGGUACUACUAGCAUAUGUGGAUGACCAAGCUAAAACUGAAAUUGUGGCAUGAGAUGAAAAUUUGAUUGCGGAACUUGGCUGUUUUGCAGAGAGUAUCUUUACCAGCUCAAGUUUGAAGCAUUAAGAAAGAAAUCAAACUGGAAGAAUAAUUUCAAUUUACCUGUGGUGUGGAAAGUCAGGAAGAAGAGCGAGACAAUCAGCUAGUCUGGUGGCUAGCACCAUAGUUUCUGUACCAUAGUAGAGUUGGCUUAAGAUUUUGAUUUUGGUUUGUUUUGAUCUCUUUCUUUACUUGAUUACCCUUUAGUUGUUCAUUUUUUUUUCAUUUGGUUUUGAUGUUUCUGAUUGUGUGAACAAGUGUACAGGUAUAUUUGGAGAGAAUCUGUAGGUUCUGCAAACAAUUCAAAGUGCUCAAGCUAAGGAUGUGUGAUCAUCUUCGAAGAUGAUUAAGAGUAAUCAUACCCAAGGGGGUGGAUUUGAAUGGGAGCUAAGCAUAAUUGAAAUCAUGCAUAAGCAACUUGCAGUUCACAUAAGCAUUCUCAAUAUCUAGGAAAGAUCCAUUCUCAAUGAGAACUGGUUCAAGCUUCCAAUGUAUCAACUCUUAGCUUAACUGAGGACAAAGCAAGUGUUCUAGGAUUAAUUAUGAAAUUAUGAAUGUUGAUUUGUUGGCAUUUCAGGAAUGCAUGGAAUCUGAAAGUUUUUAAUGAUUUCAACAGAAGAAAAUAACUUUGAAGGAUCUUGAUUCAUGCCACAUCUUGUUUUUCAUUCUUUUCUUUCAUUUUCAAGUAAUGCCUGAAAAUUCAAUUUGAAAAGAGUAGUGAAACUCUGCUCUGCUACAACACCAUAAAUGAAUUCAUUCCCAUUGGAUAAUAGCAUAUCCUCGGCAUAUAUACAUAUUUUAUGGCUUAUUUUUCUUCUAAAUAUAGUAUCAGUUGACUCAGUUCGAGGGUGUUUGGUGUCCAAGAAAAGAUCUUACAGUAGAUAUUGGAUGUAAAUUUUCUAAAGCUAAAUCAGACUCUUAGGACAGCACAUGAGACUAUGAAAAAUGUUGGUUAUAUCUAGGACCUGCAGACUAGAGAAUUGGAUGGUAAAAAGUUCCUAAAUGGAGGAUGUUUCCAAUAAAAAAUUUAACAGUUUAUGUGAACAAAAACUGGAUCCUUCUUGUGAUAUUGUUAUGCAAUAGUAGAUAGCCAUUGAUAUAUCAAGGAAAUAUACUUUUUUGGGAAUGUUUGAAUUUGUUCAUUGCCCCUGAAUUAUACGUUUCCCAUUGUGAUUUUGAUUUGCCAUCAAUCGGUUCCUUCAGGCCCCAUGCCUUAAAUCUCGUAGCAAAUUCUGAUAUGGUCCGAAAACAUGAAUGAACUUUCAACACAGCAUUGUAGGGUACUGCCUUGACUUUGAUCAACACUAUGGAGUGAUACAAAAUUCUUUGGACAUCCACAUGAAAUCCCAGGUAAAAUACAAAUGAAAAAUCCAAUCUCUGUGGGAAAUUCAUAUACCCCAACUACUCAUUUCAUUGUGUUGUGCCUGUCCUUGUUUACAAAACUUAAUAUCCAUUAGUACAAUUUCCUGGUGGAGGAGGACACAAUUCUACAGGGGCUACAGGCUUAUAGAGUGCAUGGCCCGGGUUUUUCGCAUUCGAUGCCUCAAUACACAGCCACUCUUCGACCCCAUGUGUGUGUUACAGUAAACAGCAUGUGCUUCAUCAGAAGCCCCCAAUUAUUGGUUACGGACAAGGGCUCUGUCACCUGUUAUAAAAGUGGUGUUUUUUCUUUCUUUUCUCCAUUUUUCAAAUUGUUUUCAAAGGAGGAAGAUGACAUUGUGGCAUUGCCUUUGUGUUUCCCACAAAAGGGAUUCAGAAACCAUAAAUUUCCAGGGCUUCCUCUGUUUUUAUGAAAAUUUCCAAAGGGAAAUUGUAUUUCUAGUCAGCCUUCUUUUCAAUGAAUUGCUACCAUUUUUAAGGGACGCAACUUUCUUAGUUUCUGGUUUGUGGUUCAAUUUUUGCUCACAAAUUCAAAGUACCCAAUUGACCUCCUCCCCUUUUUUUUCAUAAAAUUAUCUAUAAUAAGUAAGAAAAUGAGAAAUUAAUCGAAGAAUAUGGAGAAAUUACAUGAAAUGAAAUCAAUAUGUAAGCAAUUAAUAAGCAUAAAAUUUGAACUCAUACAAAAAGAGAAGUGAGAAAAGGCAUAACUAAAGACCAGUUACUCUGUUAAGGAGACAGAGAGAGAAAGAGGAGAAGGAGGGUAUGAAAAAAAAGGAAAAAGAAAAGUUAUGGUUUAUGUAUCUCUAAAAGAUAUAUAUCUAUGGAUAUGAGGGAGCACAGGCUAUGCAAGCAAGCAAUAGAAUAGCAAAGGAAACACCAUCCUCUUCAAGAUUGGAGCUGCUCCUCUUGAACUUGCUAGCUUUUCCUUUGUUGCAGUAUUGUAUCUGGAGCUUCUGCAUCUGCUGCUACUGCUGCUGAUGCUGAUAUUAAUCUCACCCACUCUUCUUCAUGGCCUCAUCCACCUUAGAAACCAUUUUCUUUUUCCCUCUUUUUUCUUCUCAAAGUCUUUUGGAAACUCUGUAUAUAAGAGUACUAAAGCACAGAGAGAGAGUAGAGAUUGUGCAUGGGGAACAUCAAUACAUGCAUCUCCUCAUUUUAUAGCCCAUAGUCCUACUAAAACGCCCUUAGUUUCUACCCAAAAUAUCACUAAAUUUAUAUUAGGAUCCAGUACUUAGAAUAAGAAUCUUAUAAAAGUAAUCUUAUAAAUUUAAUAUGGAAUAUUGAUGGCAUGGUGAGGUGAGCUAUGGUGCCUUAAUUGAGAAUGUCUGUUACCACCAGCCUCCAGCAACAAUGACCCAAUCUAUAGGGAUUUGUGACCAAAUUAGGGUCUCACCCAUAGGUUGAAGAAUUCUAUCGACUUAGGCACGGACUCAAUAUCCUCUUGAUGUUGAGAAUCCAUGCAAUAUAGUAAUUUGGUGAAUCAUAAUGAUUGAUAACUUUACAUCAUAAUUCAUCAUAGGUCUUGUCUAGUGUGCAUCAUACACACUAGUGCACUUACUAUGGUAAAACCAUCUCGAUGACUAAGAUAAGGCAUCCCUUUAAUUAAGAAAUAGUGCACUACAAUCUCAAAUUGAUUGCCUAAAUCCAUGAACCAACUAUGGACAACUCAUCACUUUGCAAGGAACCCAUGACUUGGAUCCUCUGUGCAACUCCUAACGUACCUAAGUCAUGCACAAUGCAAGUGAUGUAAGUAUGUAUGCUCAAAUAACCAAUUAAUACAAAUGAGAUUAUAUAAGGAAACCAAGAAGCAUAAAUAAAUAAAUUUAUAAAUAAAUCUCAAUCUAUUAUAUCAUGUCAUACUCUCCAAGGCUCAAUCCGAACACUUGAUCCCCACAAAUUAUCCAAGUUGCACAUACUAAAUGAUAAAUUUGAAAGUAUUAAAAUGAAUAAAGAUAAGCCUUUCUCUAAGUCCUACACUAAAUGCAAUCAUAUUUUAAUUCUUACUUUAAAUUAGGAAAAAAAGAUUCUUAAGUCCAAAGUGGUCCAAAAGAUAUUUAGGUAUUUCCUAGAGAGAUUUAGGUGUAAGGUGACCACCAUUGAGAAGAGUAAAAAUAUUGACAUAAUGUGAAUAGAUGAGUUAAUAGGUUCCCUACAAGCCUAUGAGAUAACUCUUCUAUCCUCCAUAAAACUUAGAGGGGUAGCCAUAAAGACCUCUAAAAAGAAUGAAUCUAAAGAUGAGAGUGAACUAGUUCUUACUCCUUCUGAAAUUUCAAUGUUCACUAAGAAAUUAAAAAAUUACAUGAAAUUACAAAAGAAAGCUAACUUAAAAGAACACUAAAAAAAGAAAGAAAAAUCUCUCUAAGAACAAAAAUGAAAAUAAAGGCUCAUUUAUCCUCAAGUUGAAUGUUAUAAUUGUAGAGGAAAUGACACAUCGAUGUUGAUUGCCCUAACCCUAAAAAAAACAAGAAGGCAAUGAAAAGCAUGUUGGUGGAAAUUUUAUAAAUCAAGAACCUAAGAGAGCAACAUAAUUUUUAGAAUUUGUGGCAAAUAAUCAAGGUCCUAGGAUAUCCUUGUUCCUCAACUAAACUCUUUUGCUCCAUUACAACAAAACUUCACUACUAGUGAGGAUAUUUUGAAACUGAAAGCAGAAAUAGAUUUACAACCCAAAUGUGAUGUGUUGACAAGGAGAAUUGAGGAGUUGGGGAUGAAGAAUAACAGAGGGGUGAAGGCCACAAAUUAGGUGUGAAAUCAUGCAGCCAUAUGCAACUCACUUGAAAAUAUGAAUUUGAAACUUAACUUUUUCAAUAUUUUAAAAGAUCCCAAAAAGUAGGAUGUUAAAAAGAAAGAAAAAGAUAGAGAAAAUAUGGCAUUGCAUUCUCACUGAUAAUGAUGAAUAUUUAUAUACAAAAAAACAUUUGAUAAGCUCUAUUCUAAUUCAAACUCUAUCUCAUACUCUAAUUCAAACUAAUAAUAAAAAUUGAUUUUCUUAAAUAGAAAUUGUUUUUAUCCUAAAUCUCCAUCAACACUCUAUGAAAUCUUAUUAUUGGUUGUUGGUUUAAAUUCCCUUUAGAUUAGCUUGAAUUCUAAUUUUGAUACAAGAUACCAUUCUUUUAGUCAUUCAUUUUGUUGAUGAUAUUUUUAUUAAGUUGGUUGAUUGCGUGUUACACUUUAUCAUUUUUUAAUUCUUCAUAUCCAUUAUUCUUCUCUUUUGCUUCCGACCAAUAUUGAUUCCAUUAAUUUAACCUCUACCUCUUUAUCACCUUCAACUCUACCUUUCUCUCUCUCUAAAAGCUUCCUCAAGGGUUAAUCGAAAACCUUAGUUCUUUUUACUUUUACUCAUUCUUCCAGUAAAUUUACAUUAUUUUCUCAACACUCAUCAUGAGUUUUUCAAAAUCAUUUUUUAUUGGUUUUUUUUUUUUCAUUUCUCAAGAUUUUUUUUCUUGUUCUUUUUUCUAGUUUUCUUGCCAACCAAACAACUAGUCUAAUGUAUUUUCUCCUUGAUUUCUCUAUAUUCUUCUUUCUCUUGAUGGUAUUAGCUAGAGUCUACCUUUAUAUCAACAUAGAGCGAAUUUAGGCUACAAGGCUAGGGCCUUGCACCGUCCCCUCCCACUACAAAUGGUAGUGGUCUUGUUGUGCCUAAUAUUGGUAAGGAUACUAUGCCCCCACCCCCACGCCCCCACCUGCCACCAAAUGGGCUUCCUCAUCAUUUGCACUGCAAUCUUUGCUUUGAGCCCUACCUGGUGUAUCAAUGCCUCCUUCCCUAUGGCCUCUAAUGCAAUAUCUUGGUUUCAAUACCUAUAUACAACCAAGAGUUUCAAAUUUGCCUCGUUCAAACCUACCAAAAUUUUCUUCUUAUAAUCUUAAAGUAAUUCUUGACUAUACUAAUUUUCCUUUCAAAGUCAUUUUUAUUGGUCACUAAUCACUAUUCUUUCUUUCAUUGGUUUUUUUUUCAAUUUUAAGGCUUAUAUGUUGUAAGUUGUGUGGUUUGAUCCUUCUCUCUCUAUUUUCUUUUAGAGAAAACAUGGCACUGCAUUCUUAUUGACGGUGAUGAAUAUUUAUAUCAAAAUAACAUUCGAGUUCUACUAUAAUUCAAACUCUAUCUUCUAUUCUAAUUCAAAUUAAUAAUAAACUUCUACUCUAGUUCAAACUCUAUAUUCUACUAUAAUUCAAACUAACAAUAAAUAGACAAAUAUUAAUUUUUAAAUUAAAGACAAACAUUAACUUUCUCUAAUAGAUGCAGUGUCCCAUGAGGAAGUCAACUGAAAUUGUGGCAAGAGAUGAAAAUUUGAUUGUGGAUAUAUUUGACCUGAAUACAAACUUGGCUGUUUUGCAGAGUAUCUUUACCAGCCCAUGUUUGAAGCAUUAAGAAGGAAAUCAAAGUGGAAGAAUUAAUCCAAUUUACCUAUGGAAAGUCAGGAAGAAGAGCAAGACAAUCAGCUAGUCUGGGGGCUAGCACCAUAGUAGAGUAGGCUUACGAUUUUGAUUUUGGUUCAUUUUGAUUUCUAUCUUUACUUGAUUACCCUUUUAGUUGUUCAUUUGUUUUUCAUUUGGUUUUGAUUUUUCUGAUUGUGUGAACAAGUGUACAGGUAGAUUUGAAGAGAAUCUGUAGAUUCUGCAAACAAUUCAAAGAGCUCAAGCUAAGGAUGUGUAAUCAUCUUCAAAGAUGAUUAAGGGUAAUCAUGCCCAAGGGGAUGGAUUUGAAUGGGAGCUGAACAUAAUCGAAAUCAUUAAUAAGCAACUUGCAGUUCAGAUAAGCAUUACUGAUGUCUAGGAAAGAUCCCAGCGCAGUGAGAACUGAUUCAAGCUUCCCAUGUAUCAACUCUUAGCUUAAUUGAGGACCAAUGCAACUGUUCUAGGAUUGAUUAUGAAAUUAUGAAUGUUGAUUUGCUGGCAUUUGAGCACACAUGGUAUCUGAAAGUUUUUAAUGGUUUCAACAGAAGAAAAUAACUUUAAAGGAUCAUGAUUCAUGCCACAUAUUGGUUUUCAUUCUUUUCUCUCAUAUUCAAGUCAUGCCUCAAGAUUCAAUUUGAAAAGAACAGUGAAAUUCUGCUCUGCUACAACACCAUAAAUGAACUCAUUCCCAUCGGAUUAUAGCAUAUCCUCAGCAUACAUACAUGUUUUAUGGGUUGUUUUUCUUUGAAAUAGGGUAUCAGUUGACUCAGUUCAAGGGUGUUUGGCGUCCAAGAAAAGAUCUUACAGUAGAUAUUGGACGUAAAUUUUCUAAAGCUAAAUCAGACUCUUAGGAUAGCACAUGACAUUAAUGAAAAAUGUUAGUUCUAGGACCUGCAGACUAGAAAAUUGAAUAAUAAAAAAGUCCUAAAUGGAGGGGAUGUUUCGAAUAAGAAAUUUACAGUUUGUGUGAACAAGAACUGGAUCUUCUUGUGAUAUUGUUAUGCAAUACUAGAUAGCCAUUGACAUAUAAAGGAAAUAUACUUUUUAGGGAAUGUUUAUAUUUGUCAAUGACCCCUGAAUUAUACAUUUCCCAUUGUGAUUAUGAUUUGCCAUCAAUCAGUUCCUUCAGGCCCAUGCCUUAAUCUCGUAGCAAAUUCUGAUAUGGUCCAAUAACAUGAAUGAGCUUCAAUACAGCAUUGUAGGGUACUGCCUUAAUUUGAUCAACCCUAUGGAGUGAUACAAAAUUCUUUGGACAUCCACAUGAAAUCCCAGGUAAAAUACAAAUGAAAAAUCCAAUCUCUGUGGGAAAUUCAUAUACCCCAACUACUCAUUUCAUUGUGUUGUGCCUGUCCUUGUUUACAAUCUUAUUAUCCAUUAGUACAUUUCCUGGUGGAGGAGGACACAAUUCUACAGGGGCUACAGGCUUAUAGAGUGCAUGGCCCGGGUUUUUCGCAUUCGAUGCCUCAGUUAACAGCCACUCUUCGACCCCAUGUGUGUGUUACAGUAAACAGCCUGUGCUUCAUCAGAAGCCCCCAAUUAUUGGUUACAGAAGGGCUUUGUCAUCUGUUAUACAAGUAGUGUUUUUUGCUUUCUUGUCUCCAUUUUUUCAAGUUGUUUUCAAAGGAGGAAGAGGACACUGUAGCAUUGCCUUUGUGUUUCCCACAAAAUGGGUUCAGAAACCAUAAAUUUCUCAGGCUUCCUCUGUUUUCAUGAAAAUCUCCCAAGAGAAAUUGUAUUUCCAGUCAGCCUUCUACCAUUUUUAAGGGACACAACUUUCUUAGUUUCCGGUUUGUGGUUCAAUUUUUGCACACAAAUUCAGAGUACCCAAUUGACUUCCUCCCUUUUUUUCUCACAAAUUAUCCAUAAUAAGUAAGAAAAUCAGAAAUUAAUCCAAGAACAUGGAGAAAUUACAUGAGAUGAAAUCAAUAUGUAAGCAAUUAAUAAGCAUAAAAUUUGAACUCAUACAGAAAGAGAAGUGAGAAAAGGCAUAACUAAAGACCAGUUACUCUCUGUGAGAGAGACAGAGAGAGAAAGAGGAGGAGGAUAUGAAAAGAAAGGAAAAGGAAAAGUAAUGGUUUAUGCAUCUCUAAAACAUAUAUAGCUAUGGAUAUGAGGGAGCACAGGCUAUGCAAGCAAGCAAUAGAAUAGCAGAGGAAGCACCAUCCUCUUCAAGAUUGGAGCUGCUCCUCUUGAAUUUGCUAGCUUUUCCUUUGUUGCAGUACUGUAUCUGCAGCUUCUGCAUCUGCUGCUGCUGCUGAUGCUGAUAUAGCUCUUUGCCACUCUUCUUCAUGGCCUCAUCCACCUUAGAAACCAUUUUCUUUUUCUCUCUUUUUUCUUCUCAAAGUCUUUUGGAAACUCUGUAUAUAAGAGUACUAAAGCACAGAGAGAGAGGAGAGAUUGUGCAUGGGGAACAUCAAUACAUGCAUCUCCUCAUUUUAUAGCCCAUAGUCCUACCAAAAUACCCUUGGUUUCUGCCCAAAAUAUCACUCUAUUUUAUAUAAGGAUCCAGUACUUAGAAUAAGGAUUUUAAAAAUGUAAUCUUAUACAUUAAAUAUGGAAUAUGGAUGGCAUGGUGGGGUGAGGCCAUUAUAU